AACACGCAUGACACACUGCAUAUCAAUAAGCGGAGGAAAAGAAACUAACAAGGAUUCCCUUAGUAACGGCGAGUGAAGCGGGAAGAGCUCAAAUUUGAAAUCUUCAAGGUUCUACCUUGACGAAUUGUAGUUUAUAGAAGUGUUUUCUGUUAGUGGAGUGGCAAAAGUUCUUUGGAAUAGGACAUCAUAGAGGGUGAGAAUCCCGUAUUUGGUCAUUCCUCCUAGCGUUGUGAUACACUUUCAACGAGUCGGAUUGUUUGGGAAUGCAGUCCAAAAUGGGUGGUAAAUUUCAUCUAAAGCUAAAUAUUGGCGAGAGACCGAUAGCGAACAAGUACCGUGAGGGAAAGAUGAAAAGAACUUUGAAAAGAGAGUUAAACAGUACGUGAAAUUGUCAAAAGGGAAGCGUUUGACACCAGUGUUGUUUUUUCCGAAAAUCAAUUACGAAUGUUUUGUUUUUGAGGAGUUAUGACUUCAUCGGCUUGCUCCUUUCUUUAUGAAACUUUCUUAAUGCACUUUUCGGUUAACAAGUCAACAUCAAUUUCUUUUGUUGUAAAAGGGUAUGAGGAAGGUGGCUUUCUUUUCGGAGAAAGUGUUUAUAGCCUUGUGCCUCUGCAAUCGGAGAGAUUGAGGUCUGCAGCGUAGAUCCUUCGGGGUUAGAUACAUUUGUGCUAAGUUAUAGCUUUUCAUAGACAACUUGUUGACUAUAGUUUAGUCUUGUAGCUUACUCGCUUAUGCUAUUUUACCUACGCUUAGGAUGUUGAGCGCAUGUCUCUCUCU
rnacentral:rRNA from 1 species